ACCGCCCGUCACACCAUGGGAGUGGGUUUCACCAGAAGCGGUCGCUUAACCCGCAAGGGAUGGCGCCGACCACGGUGAGAUUCAUGACUGGGGUG
rnacentral:rRNA from 1 species